rnacentral:rRNA from 1 species
UACGUAGGGGGCAAGCGUUGUCCGGAAUCAUUGGGCGUAAAGAGCGUGUAGGCGGCUCGAUAAGUCUGCUGUGAAAGUCCAGGGCUCAACCCUGGGAUGCCGGUGGAUACUGCUGGGCUAGAGUACGGAAGAGGCGAGUGGAAUUCCCGGUGUAGCGGUGAAAUGCGCAGAUAUCGGGAGGAACACCAAUUGCGAAGGCAGCUCGCUGGGACGUCACUGACGCUGAGACGCGAAAGCGUGGGGAGCAAACAGG